ensembl:antisense Gm12694 predicted gene 12694
GCGUGAAAGCUGCUUCCCCAAGGACCGCAUGGGUUAUCUCACUUCUCUCACGUCUUACGUGGGCUAACUCACAGCAGAUCUUUUUCCAUUCAGGGCAACCUGGAACCAUGAUGUUUAUUUGUUUGCGCAUUGUCAGAGGACUCAUCUAGUAAUCAAUGCUAACAGCUUGCCUGACAGAGCAUAGGCACUUAAAGGUGCCUGUUGGAUUUAAUCGGGAAAUGCAAAAUAGAAACACCAGUCUCUAACUCAAGAGCCAGGUCUACAAGGAAAAAGAACAAGUGGGAUAGAAGGAAAUACAAACUGAAGAGUUUAAAGUAAAAAGGGACAUCAGGAAAUUUAAUUAUGGACCCAAGGCUUGUGUUGUAAAAAAGAAAUUAAGGAGAGGUUUGAUCUAAAAUGGAAUAAAUGGAGGGGUACCUUCAAGGCCCAAGAAACACUCCCAUUCUGGUUCCUGAGUAGCUGGGACCACACGUCCACAUUUCCAUCCUCUGCAACCUUGGCUUUAGCUUUAACUGAUUCCUUCUACGUCAGAAGAACAAUUUGGGCCGGUGAGAUGAUUAUCGAUAACGGUUAUUUUCACCAAACCUCACAACUGGUGUUCAAUCCCUGGGAUUCACAUGGUAGAAGAAGAAAAGCAAUUCCUGCAGGUCUUCCUAUGACCUCCAUAUGUGCACCAUGGCAUAUGUAGGUCACAUGUGUCUCUGCCUAUAGGUAGGUGAAAUGUAAUAAAAAAAAAGAAUAUUUGAGAAA